ACAACAGCCCUUUUCAGGGCUACAUGUUAAAUAAAGCAAGAAAUAA
rfam:Lingula anatina scaffold1159, whole genome shotgun sequence.